AUCCAUCAGAGUAUCAAUGUUCUUCCUCUCUCUCCUCCCCUCUCACUGCAGACAUGAAACACUGGCUGAGAAACAUCCUGAUUCUGACUCUCUGGCUAGAGUGUAAAGGAGCAGACAGAGUGAUCCAGCCAACAGGAGAUGUCAUUGCUGCUGAAGGACACACAGUUACACUGGACUGCACAUUUGAGACCAGUAACACAGGUCCAACUUUGUUCUGGUACAAACAGGAUGGAAACAACAGCCCCAAAUUCAUACUGGGCUGCUCUCAGUUUGGUACAGUGAACACAGAGAAGGAAUAUGAGGACAGAUUUUCAUCCAAAGUGAAUUCUACCUCAAACUCAGUUCCUCUGAAGAUCCAGAAGCUUCAGCUGUCUGACUCUGCUGUGUACUACUGUGCUCUGCAGCCCACAGUGACAGGAAACACCAAAACUCUGUACAAAAACCUUUGGAGCAAAGACAACACAAUACUCCACAACAUCCACUAGAGGGAGUCACACACCAUGAACCCAUUACAGUCUGAGCCAGUGUCACUGGACUGAUGACAAAUACAACAAAACAUCAACCAAUAAAGAUUCCACACAGAGCUGCUGUGACAACAGACAGAAAUGGAUUGGUUGAGUUGAAGUGAAUAAAUAAAGUGAAGAGCUGAUUGGCCCCGCCCAUUUAGCCUCAACUCAACCAAUGACAUCAUUCCUUCCUCACUGUGCUGCAGUGGAAGAACACUGCUCAUCUGCUGUCUGUCUGGC